UACGUAGGGUGCGAGCGUUGUCCGGAAUUAUUGGGCGUAAAGAGCUCGUAGGCGGUUUGUCGCGUCGACUGUGAAAACCUACAGCUUAACUGUGGCUUGCAGUCGAUACGGGCAGACUUGAGUUCUGUAGGGGAGACUGGAAUUCCUGGUGUAGCGGUGAAAUGCGCAGAUAUCAGGAGGAACACCGGUGGCGAAGGCGGGUCUCUGGGCCGCUCCUGACGCUGAAGAGCGAAAGCGUGGGGAGCGAACAGG
rnacentral:rRNA from 1 species